rnacentral:rRNA from 1 species
GGUAGUCCACGCCGUAAACGAUGUCGACUUGGAGGUUGUGCCCUUGAGGCGUGGCUUCCGGAGCUAACGCGUUAAGUCGACCGCCUGGGGAGUACGGCCGCAAGGUUAAAACUCAAAUGAAUUGACGGGGGCCCGCACAAGCGGUGGAGCAUGUGGUUUAAUUCGAUGCAACGCGAAGAACCUUACCUACUCUUGACAUCCAGAGAACUUAGCAGAGAUGCUUUGGUGCCUUCGGGAACUCUGAGGCAGGUGCUGCAUGGCUGUCGUCAGCUCGUGUUGUGAAAUGUUGGGUUAAGUCCCGCAACGAGCGCAACCCUUAUCCUUUGUUGCCAGCGGUUAGGCCGGGAACUCAAAGGAGACUGCCAGUGAUAAACUGGAGGAAGGUGGGGAUGACGUCAAGUCAUCAUGGCCCUUACGAGUAGGGCUACACACGUGCUACAAUGGCGCAUACAAAGAGAAGCGACCUCGCGAGAGCAAGCGGACCUCAUAAAGUGCGUCGUAGUCCGGAUUGGAGUCUGCAACUCGACUCCAUGAAGUCGGAAUCGCUAGUAAUCGUAGAUCAGAAUGCUACGGUGAAUACGUUCCCGGGCCUUGUACACACCGCCCGUCACACCAUGGGAGUGGGUUGCAAAAGAAGUAGGUAGCUUAACCUUCGGGAGGGCGCUUACCACUUUGUGAUUCAUGACUGGGGUGAAGUCGUAACAAGGUAACCGUAGGGGAACCUGC